CUCAUCAAGAGCAGUGGAGGGACUGGCCCUGAGAAGCUGCGGCAACCAUGCAUUACUGCAACGGUGCCAAUUCCUGUUGAAGGCUUAGGCCGGAGAUAAGAUGA
rnacentral:ncRNA from 1 species